rnacentral:lncRNA from 1 species
UUAUAAGAUGUCGAAUAACAAUACAAAUAUUCUAAAUAAAAACAAAUUUUUUAUACAAAUCUACAAUAAUUUAAAGCAAUUCACUAUUCAUAUUAAACAAAUAUGUCACUAUAAGAUGUCGAAUAACAAUACAAUUUUUCUGAACAAACAUAAAUGACAUAGAAAUCCAACACUUCAUCUUAAUUCUAUUGAGCUGUAUUUUUUUCCCUCUCUUAAUGCUCUUCAUCCAAGAGUAAAUCCAAUUCUUGCUUGGUGACCUCUGUGAUGUCUGCUUCUCCCUGGAUUCCUUAAUCACCUCCACAUUUGUAUAGCGGGAGCUUCAAGGCAAAUUUAACAUUCUGAAUACGAUACACUUAUUGUGAAUAAGCUAGUAUUAUAUUUGAAUAAUUUAAUUUUACAACCAAAUAACAUUUAAAUAAAAAAUAAUUAUUUAAUCAUAGAUGGUUUUACAAUUUCGUCAAUAUUUAAUUCACAAUCAUAUUAAAAUAAGAAAUAAUUUCUGCACCAAGAGUCUAAAAUGGCACAAACAGUAAAAUCAAUAAGAGUAAAAUAUAUCUACAGUAAGAGCAACUCACAAUCAAAUUCUAAAAUACAGCAAACAUAUGAAUAAUAUACCACCACAUAAUGAAUAACCAUAAUUUUUAAAUGAAUAAACUUGUUGGGAACAUCAAUUAAUUCGUUUAUUUUAUCCAAGCAUAUUGAGAAUAAAUAAUGUAAAAUAAAGUAGCGAAAGAUGUGUUGUGUUUCUUCAUAAAGUUACACCAAACUCCACAUUUAUGUUAGCAAAACUUCAGCAGUUCCAAUCAAAAUAUCAGUAAAACCAAAAUUUUACAAUUCCCAUUUUGUAUAUAUAAGAUUUAGCAGAAAAUUCAAAAGAGAGAAGAUAUGAAUAGCAGAAGACAUAUAUUCAUUCAAAAAAUAAAAUAUUCAGUAAAACAUUCUUAAGAAUCGCAGACUUACUAAAGAGAACGUCUUUGUGGAUACACAUCUACUCGCUAAUCUUCGACUAACUAUAGAUUCGUCAGACGGAGAAGAUGUCGGUGACCAGAGCGACGGUCCGAUCUACUGGGUUGCACUGCACCGACGAGGGAGUGGCGGACGCUGCCAUUCACCGCUGUUAUCGACGGCGAGAGGGGAUGCGGCAAGUUGUGGCAGACCCGCCGAACAGGGAGAAGGAAUUGGGGAGGCGGCGCGGUGGCGAUUGUAAAACUUGCUGAUAAAUCGAGAUUUCUCCGAUUUCCUCUUCGAACACGCUGGAGAGUUUUUGGAGUCAAUGAUUUUGUUGUUCGGAAAACCCUAGACUAGAGAAGUUGAAACGGUGAGGAUAUGGUCGAGUAAUUAUCGGACCUAUCAGAUUUACCAUCGUGGUAAAUACCCCAAAUUGUCCUUCCGUAUUCAAAAUCUCUUUAUUUA